rnacentral:rRNA from 1 species
UUUCUGCAAGGUGCUGCAUGGUUGUCGUCAGCUCGUGCCGUGAGGUGUCGGGUUAAGUCCCAUAACGAGCGCAACCCUUAUCGUUAGUUGCCAUCUGGUAAUGCAGGGGACUCUAGCGAAACUGCCACCGUAAGGUGAGAGGAAGGUGGGGAUGACGUCAAAUCAGCACGGCCCUUAUGUCCAGGGCUACACACGUGUUACAAUGGUCGGUACAGAGGGCAGCUACCUGGUGACAGGAUGCUAAUCUCGAAAACCGGUCUCAGUUCGGAUCGAAGUCUGCAGCUCGACUUCGUGAAGCUGGAUUCGCUAGUAAUCGCGCAUCAGCUAUGGCGCGGUGAAUACGUUCCCGGGCCUU